CAACCGUUGAUCGUACCAUCGAAUUAUUCCAUCUCGUCCGUCCAUUAGUCCCAACACUCUGUAUAAAAACACGCCUUGAUCUCAUUGGUUCUCAUACCCGCUUUUUUUUAUCGUUAUCUCUUUAAGCUUUUCGUUCAUCGCUUUUCUCUAGAUCUCUCCGUUACGUCGAUUUGAUGACGUAUUGGAAGACUCUCCGAUUCAGUUCUGCCGUCGAUCUUCGAAUCGGCGUCGUAUACACAAUGGAUCUGGUAGCUCCGGUUUGAUUCAUGAUCCAGAAGACGGAUCUUAGCUGCUGAGAUCUCCGACGAUCGGUCGAAGAGCUGAUCUGAUCUCGCAUCAUGAUCUCGGCAAGCUAGGUUCGUCGGAUCCGUGAUAUGCUGAGGUGAGGAUGAGUCGGGAGGAGCAAUUGAAGAAGAGGGGAGAGGAUUGAGAUAUGUGAAUUGAUAAUGAGUAUGAAGGAUGUAUAAGAUGUUUGUUAAGGACAACAUAGCCUGAUGGAUUAGGCUUGAGUUCUGAUUAGCAUCUUUGUCAUCCGACCUUUGCCAUGACAGGUGCGCUUGCAUGGCAGGUCACACACUAAAUAAUAAAAAAAAAUAAUUGUUUCGUGUUGGUUAGGGGAGUUCGCACGGGGCACUUUUUUUUAGCCCGGGUUCUCCCCUCACCUUUGUGUCUUGUUCUCUCUCUCUCUCUCUCAUCCCUUUGAUCUCAAUUCACCAAAAUAUCUCUCGACACAGACAUAUUUUGAAUCGAUUCCUAUCAUUACGAUUGAUCGGAUCUGAGUCGUCUAACGCUGCCAUAUCUAAAUCCAACAUACUCCACAGAGGCAAAGGUACAUUAAGUUUGAGUUUAUUCAUAUUAUAUAACCUAUCAUAACUCCAAAUCGACUUUAAUUUGCUAUAUCAAGCACUUUUCAACUUCUGUAACGAAGCUAUAUACAUACUUGGCUAGUUAUUUUUUAGUAAGCACAAUGUUUUAGCAACAUGUAUCCACUUUUAUAGUAUAUAAUACAAAGAAGUACGUUAAGAGUCC